GAUGAACGCUAGCGAUAGGCUUAACACAUGCAAGUCGAGGGGCAGCACAAGGUAGCUUGCUAUCUGGGUGGCGACCGGCGCACGGGUGCGUAACGCGUAUGCAACUUGCCCUAUACAGGAGGAUAACCCGUCGAAAGACGGACUAAUACUGCGUAUGCUCACAACUUGGCAUCAAGUGGUGAGGAAAGAAAUUCGGUAUAGGAUAGGCAUGCGUCCCAUUAGCUUGUUGGUGAGGUAACGGCUCACCAAGGCAACGAUGGGUAGGGGAACUGAGAGGUUUAUCCCCCACACUGGUACUGAGACACGGACCAGACUCCUACGGGAGGGAGCAGUGAGGAAUAUUGGUCAAUGGGCGCGAGCCUGAACCAGCCAAGUCGCGUGAAGGAUGACUGUCUUAUGGAUUGUAAACUUCCUUUAUACGGGAAUAACAAGAGUCACGUGUGACUCCCUGCAUGUACCGUAUGAAUAAGCAUCGGCUAACUCCGUG
rnacentral:rRNA from 1 species